GAACUCCAACAGUUCCAGUUCGACAUUCACUACCGGAAAGGACGACAGAACGUUGUCGCAGACGCCUUGUCACGACAGCCACUCGAGGCCCUACAGACAAUCAUCGAGGAGCAGAACACAUGCGCAUGGAUACGACGACGCACACAGGAGACAGAGCGACCAGAGAAGUACCCCGAUUAUACCCUGGAGAACGGACAAUUGUACAGGAACGUAGGACAACGGCCCCUGGAGGAAGAUGUCAUACCAUGGAAGCUGUGUGUAGGCAAGGAACAACGGCAGCGAGUGCUGCAAGAAUGCCACGACCAAGCAAGCGCGGGACACCUGGGAAUACGCAAGACAACGACAAGGGUAUGUCAAAGAUAUUAUUGGCCCUAAAUCUUCAGAGACGUCGCUCGCUACGUAAGGAAAUGUGCUGUGUGCCAAAAGUUCAAGACGCAACAAGCCAAGCCAGCAGGGAAGAUGCUUACACGAC
rnacentral:lncRNA from 1 species